ACAGCGUCAGACAGGGAACAGGAAGGUUUGCUCACAGUCCGUCACUCUCAGCUGAUGUGCUGGUGGGUGAGUCCCAAGCCGGAGCACUGCAAGCAGAAGGUUGGUAAAAUAGGUGAGAGGUGACCAGUUUCCUCAUUGUCGGUGGGGUGGGUGCAAGAGAGGAGCGCCUGCCUCAGAGAAACCUCAGCACAGCUGUGCCGGGACAGACUUGGCCCUUUAAACCAACCCCCAGCCAGAACUGAACCUGGGGAGGAACCCUGUGGGUGGGCAGCCGAGCUCGGGGCCUCAGGGCGCCUGCAACGUGAGGGUAACGGGGCGGGGCCAUCACGGGAUCAUCCUCCAAUCAGGGAGAGCGAAGCUGGAACUCAGCUCUGACCCAGCAGGACCAGAACCUGAGCAGGACCGCGGUGUCUGCCUCGCGUGCCAUGGGUUCCAGAUCCCUUCCCUGGGCCGUGCUUUGUCUCCUGGGAGCAGGCCCCUUGGCGGCUGGAGUCACUCAAACUCCAAGACACGUGAUCAAAUCAACAGGACAGACAGUGACACUGAGAUGUUCCCCUGUCUCUGGGCACCUCAGUGUAUCUUGGUACCUACAGGCCCUGAAUCAGGGCCCCCAGUUCCUCUUUGAGUUUUAUGACCAAAUGCCAAGAGCCAAAGGAAACGUCUCAGAUCGAUUCUCAGUACAACAGCCCAGUAACUCUCUCUCUGAGCUGACGGUGAAGUUCUCGGAGCUGACAGACUCCUCUCUGUACCUCUGUGCCAGCAGCCUGGCACAGUCCUGCGGAGUCACCAGCCUUCUGUGCAGAAACCUCCCUGCCUCUGCUUGAGCGGUGAGAAGAACCAUGCAGGCUCCUGCCCAGGUUGCCCCCACUUCAAGGGAUGUUUUUAGUCAUUUCUAAGAGUCUUCCUGUGUCCUGCUCAGCUCAGAGCACUUUCAACUAAUGGAACCCAGGUUCACCCCUGUGCACCAUUUUCUUUUCUCCCAGCAUGGGCCAAGUCCUGAUAAAAAGGGCAACAACUGAGCCCUCAAUAUGUGCUAGAUCCUUGGCACAUACUAAGCUUUGCAACAAUCAUGCAAAUCAAAUAUUCUAACUAUUCUAAUGCCCACUUUAUAGAGGACAUUAACUCAUUUCCCCCAUGUCCCCCAUGUCUGUUUCAAAGCAGCAGAACAGGGAAAUAAACAUGUUUCCACAUGACCAGCGGCCCCAUCACUGCCUCUGCAUCCUGGUCAUCGAGAAUAGAGGCCUGGCCUCCUCUUUUUCUGUGUUCCACUGGGCACAUCCCCAUGGUCAUUAUGAGACCAAGCAGGGCCCUGUGUGCUCCUGGGCUCACAAGCCUUUCUGUGCCCCCAUUUCUUAUUUUUAGGGAAUAAUCUUCAGCCUCCUUGACCUUCCCAGAGUUCCAAAGGGCAGGUUCAAAUAGUUGCUAAUCAGCAAAGGGAGGGGGAUGCAGAGACCAGGGAGGGACAGUCAAGAAACAAUGGUGCAGGAGUUCCCAUCUUGGCUCAGUGGUUAACGAAUCCGACUAGGAACCAUGAGGUUGCGAGUUCGAUCCCUGGCCUUGUCCAGUGGGUUAAGGAUCUGCCAUUGCCGUGAGCUGCGGUGUGGGUCACAGAUGCACUCAGAUCCCACGUUGCCAUGGCAGUGGUGCGUAGGCCAGCAGCUACAGCUCUGAUUUGACCCCUAGCCUGGGAACCUCCAUUUGCAGGUGGGGGCCUAGAAAAAACAAAAGGAAAAAAAAGGAACAAUGGUGCAGCCUUGGGGAAGGGGCCUGGUCCCUCCUCAAGGAAUAUACAUAAUAAUAUCUUCUGCAGACCUAACCCCCCCAACAAAUGGAAGCUGUUAAUUAUUUAUUCCAUUAAGAAGACCCUCUGACCACUGAACACUAGUUUUGAAAGCAACGCUAGCUUGCCUCUCUCCUGAGCCUUAUCUGUGGCCCUAUUUUUCACUCCCCAAACUAUCAAACCACCUCCCAGUCUCAACCAGUCUUUGAGGCAUUAGCCUGCUGUGACCCUCUGGCUGGCAAAACAAUAAAGGCAUUUUUUCUCCUUCGCC